AAGGGAUCCUCCUGUCAGACAACCUCUCCAAAGUACAACAGGACUAGGUUCCCACUACAAGGACUAGAUUUGGCUACUGCAGUCCCGGUUUGGGCCAGCCUCACUUGUGAAGACUAAAGAUGAAGACAACAUACAAGAACAAUUUAGAGGAUGACGACACACUUUUUAUUCCACCUAUAUAUCCCCUUUUAUGUGU